GACGAACCGUGCGAACGUUGUUCGGAAUCACUGGGCUUAAAGGGCGCGUAGGCGGCUCGCGAGGUCGGGGGUGAAAUACCUCGGCUCAACCGAGGAACUGCGCCUGAUACUGCUUGGCUUGAGGUCCGGAGGGGAGAGUGGAAUUCCCGGUGGAGCGGUGAAAUGCGUAGAGAUCGGGAAGAACGCCGGCGGCGAAAGCGACUCUCUGGUCGGAAUCUGACGCUGAGGUGCGAAAGCUAGGGGAGCAAACGGG
rnacentral:rRNA from 1 species